rnacentral:rRNA from 1 species
AUUGAACGCUGGCGGCAGGCUUAAUACAUGCAAGUCGAGGGGCAGCACAGGUAGCAAUACUGGGUGGCGACCGGCAAACGGGUGCGGAACACGUACGCAACCUUCCUUUAAGUGGGGGAUAGCGCAGGGAAACUUGCAUUAAUACCCCGUAAUAUUUUUGGGUGGCAUCACCUGAUAAUUAUAGCUCCGGCGCUUAAAGAUGGGCGUGCGCCUGAUUAGGUAGUUGGCGGGGUAACGGCCCACCAAGCCUACGAUCAGUAACUGGUGUGAGAGCACGAACAGUCACACGGGCACUGAGACACGCGCCUUAGUCCUACGCGAGGCAGACGUAAGGAAUAUUGGUCAAUGGACGCAAGUCUGAACCAGCCAUGCCGCGUGGAGGAUGACUGCCCUCUGGGUUGUAAACUCCUUUUAUCUGGGAAGAAAUGCAGACUUUCUAGUCUGUUUGACGGUACCAGAGGAAUAAGCACCGGCUAACUCCGUGCCAGCCGCCGCCGUAAAAC